UACGUAGGGGGCAAGCGUUGUCCGGAUUUAUUGGGCGUAAAGAGCGUGUAGGCGGCUUUACAGGUCCGUUGUGAAAACUCGAGGCUCAACCUCGAGACGCCGGUGGAAACUGUCUGGCUAGAGUCCGGAAGAGGAGAAUGGAAUUCCUGGUGUAGCGGUGAAAUGCGCAGAUAUCAGGAAGAACACCCGUGGCGAAGGCGGUUCUCUGGGACGGUACUGACGCUGAGACGCGAAAGCGUGGGGAGCGAACAGG
rnacentral:rRNA from 1 species